rnacentral:rRNA from 1 species
UACGGGGGGGGCAAGCGUUGUUCGGAAUUACUGGGCGUAAAGGGUUUGUAGGUGGCUUGCUAAGUCAGACGUGAAAUCCCUCAGCUUAACUGAGGAACUGCGCCUGAGACUGGCAAGCUUGAGUGCAGGAGAGGAACGCGGAAUUCCAGGUGUAGCGGUGAAAUGCGUAGAUAUCUGGAGGAACACCGGUGGCGAAGGCGGCGUUCUGGACUGUAACUGACACUGAUGAACGAAAGCCAGGGGAGCAAACGGG